rnacentral:ncRNA from 2 species
UGCCCUUUGUACACACCGCCCG